AAGUCGUAACAAGGUUUCCGUUGAUGAACCUGCGGAAGGAUCCUUAACACGUUUCCAAACGUUAAAACCCCCCCGUGAACCUUCAUCCUGCUCUUGUAACCCGCGUAGUUCGCAAUCUCUGAUAAAUCAUAGCCCGGAAAGUUGUACCACAGUUUAAUGUGAAGCUCAAUGUAAUACAUUGGGUAAAAAAAUCGAACAACUGUUAACAAUGGAUAUCUUGGUUCUC
rnacentral:misc_RNA from 1 species